GGUCUAGGUACCAUUGGUAGGUAUCUGCGAGUCCCAGUCUCUGUAAGCGUGAUUCCAGGAAGGGCAGUCGCUCCUCUCUCAAGCUGCCUCCACACAACUCCCCUAUUCCUGGUACUAGAAGAUCAACAGCUGCAACUGUUCGUUGAGGUCCAUCUUCAUUGUCCCGCAUGUAGAAAGGUUUGAGGUCAUAGGGGUAGUUAAU
rnacentral:lncRNA from 1 species